UCUGCCACAUCAGGCUAAAAUCACCUUCUGCACCGACUUUUUCUGUUGACUUGACUGAAGUCAGUGUGUGCCCCAGCUCUCAGCGCUGCCUCCUGUGCCGAGUGGUGUGACCACACGAGUCCCUACGAACAGACACCACGGGGAAAGCCUAGCUCCAGUGAAGUCCCAACUCCUGUUAAUGUUAUCGCAGCACCCUUAGGAUACAUGGCUGUGCUAGUCUGCCCAUUUAAAAGAUGAAGAAAUGAAGCAUAAAGAAGACUCUUUUUUCAUGGACCAGAAGUCCCCUUUCUACAGCAAGAUACUUAGCCAUAUGUACCCUUCCUAACUUUGAUCUUCCCAAGAUUUGGAUGUGCUACCUCUCUGUUUGCAGUGACCUCACCACUCACUCCUGCCACUUGCUUGUGUAUUGCUCUUUGUCUGUAAGGGUAAAGUAUUUUACCAGGAAUAUGUUUGGAGACUCUGGGUUCUGGUCCUGUGCGCUUUGAUUUCUCGGAGGAGCCUAUAUAAUCUGUGGACUCUGGACAGGUUUGCUAGAUCUAACUGUUGAACAGCACUGCUUGUUUCAACCAGGUAAUGUUUAUAAAAUAUGAUGCAAUGGUGGGAGUAGGCUCUUACUGUUAAGUUCACAGCUGAUACCGUGUGGCACUGAGUCAGUGUCCUCUGAAUAUUCCGUGCUGCUACUGCAAAUAAAUGCACCAGCUUCCGUCUUAAUAGCUUACUUCAGAGCCAGUGUCACACUUCACACCCUAUUCUGGAUGCUCUCCAACAAGUUAAUGUCUUUCAGCAAGUAAGGUGAGUAAAAAUGAUGAGAGUAUCCUUAACUAAAGAGCCAUAAAAUUCUAAUAGAGCAGUAAUGUUCCCAGUGAGCCUAAAGGGAAUCUGAUCAAUAGUCAUGAGGUUGAGGCUUGAUUUAUGGCCUUAAUUCAUUAGGCAUAGUCAUUCUCCAUUUUUGUACAGGACGCUUUUGUGGUUUCUGCUGAGCAGAGCAGUAUAAAGUCUGCAAGCCCUUUCUCAACAAUCCCCCCGGGCUUUGUCAUUUAAGAAGUGACUCCAUAGAAGUGCUGAUAAAGGUCCUAUCACCAGUUUAAGAGAAUUUUUCACUGUAUAGGACAGACUGUACCAACCGUAUUUGCUCUGAGAGUCUAAAGCUUGGAGUGGUUUCACAGUGAGUAAAAAAGAAAGUAAUUUCAGAUCUUUUUAAAACUUCCCAUUGAAGGUAUUUGCAUGCCUAUGAACCACUCCACAAUCAGGAACGGUCCAGUAGCAUGCUCUCCAAAAAUCCCUUUCUGCCUUUUGCCCAGCCUUUAUGGUACAACUUGCAAGGGGCCAGAUGGGAGCUACUUCUACUGGCUCUAAGCUGCUCUGUGGUAGAAGGAAGUUUUCCCAGCUCCUCCUAACACACUUUUGAACUCCUUAAGCUUCCAAAGUGGUAUAUAAGGACUGAGGCAGAGGAUGAAAUUUCAUCCAACAGCUUUUAUCUUCUCAGGAAGUUCUUAUUAAAAUCUUCAUAUGAAAAGGUCAGAACUUUCCAAAGACUGAAGUAAAUGCAAGGUUUAUGUUAGCCAUCUCCCACCAGCAGGAUAAGUAUGAAGUAGAUGGAAAUAUUUCACACGAAGUGUCAAAGCCACGGUAAAGCCAUCUCAGUAAUCUCUGCAUCUGCUUGUUCAAUAGUUCCUGCAUACAUAGGUUAGCUGAAGUAAGUUUUAAGUUUCUGAAGUGAUAGGAGUGCCUUAUAAAUACACAGUAAGGUCCUAACUGGACAGGGCUGUCAGUCAACACUUGACCAAAAAAGUUUUGAUUGUGAUGCUCAUUCAGAUGGAAUUUCUCCGGCACAUUUAAAAAAAUAUCCCAUCUCUUACACCAUGCACAGCUCCAGAGAUGCCGACAGCCGAGACCUGCACGUGACCUUGGCUGGACAGAUUCAUUCCUGCUUGGCAACCCACAGAUGUUAGUUAAUGCCAAGUAUUCCUGGGUGUAACAUCUGACUCACGAGGAUGUCUGUAACUAUUUGCACUUGUUGGGCUGGGGUGGGUAAGCUGGGCGUUUUCAGAGGACUCUGCGCGGUGCACUGGGGCGAAGGGCGGGCGGUGGCUCCCCGAAAAGCCCCGGGGCUCCGGGGCAGGCAGGGCUGCCGGCUCUGCGGCCCUUGGCCGGGCCCGGCCGUCUGGCCCUACGGGCAGCGCGGCGGGCACGGAGGCGGGUGGGCGACGAGCCCCGGCGCUUACCCGAGCCAACAGCGCCACCCAGGGCUUCCUGAGCACAGUCCCUCACCUCCCCGCCGCGUCAAAAUUUUCCAAGGUUUGGCCCUUUGAUAUUCCUGAAUGACUACACCCAUUGAGAAGGAAGUAAUAAUUUACUGUAGUAGUUAACAGCAGUAUAAAUCGUAUGUAUUGGUAUAUACGGGCAUAUCUAUAUUCGAAUGACUGCAUUUACAUGAAGUGGAUAAUACUUUAUCAAAAUAGUUAAAGCAGUAGUAUUUGUAGGCAGCUAAGGUCUGGGUAACCAGUUUAUAAAUCACAGUCCAUCCCUGCUUCUUUACUACAGUGAAAAACUUACUCAGUCCAUAUUGAAAUAAGUUUGGAAAGCUUUUGUUCACUAAAUAUAUAAAGCCACAUGAAUGGUUUACUAAAGGAACACGUCACAGCCAAAAUAAAGGGUGCAGGUUUUAUAACAGUGCACACUGAGUCAGACUUUUAUUAAAAUGACCUUGAUCAAAUCCCUGGACAAAACAGUGGCACAAGUUUUAGAGAAGAGGUAAGGCACCAGAUGGCAAUGAUGCUAGAAAACUAUUUCAAUAGGAGCAGAAAAAAAAUCUUAGCAGUGAUGAGGACAUAGGCUGCACAGAGAACAACCCAAGUUACAUGGUUGUUGUCUGCACUUUCCAUUCCCGGAGGGCAAAAGCUGUCUGGCAGCUGCUGGGCUACCAACCGUGCCACCGGUGUGCAGCCCUCGCAGCUGCUGAGGUAGUUCGGUGCUCGCCUCUCUCGCACGGGGCUGGAGUCCUGCUGGAGGCACAGUGCAGUCUGGCCCGUGCCGCGCGGUUGCUGUGUCCCGUGAGAGCUGGCAGCACGCUGGAUGCAGCGCUGCUUGGGAAGGGGCUGCUCCCUUCUCUCUGCAGGGCAGGCGCUAGCUCACCUGAAAAACUCCCCGAGGGGAACAGCAGCAAAUGAGGUAGCCCAGUGACUGUAGUUUUACCACCAAGCACAGUUGUGGAGGGGACAGGGAUGAAUGAAGUUCAAAAUCUGUCUAUUCCAGUUGAGAAGCUGAGGCUAAAUGAGGGGUAAGCAAGUAAAUAAAACCUGUGUUCCACCCAUUUCAAAGGUAAAGUUAGGGAACACUAAUGCUCCUUUGAAACAGGGCAUGAAAAGUUACAGAGGUCAGAAAGCACAGAAGAAAGUAAUCCAUGAACCAGUGAUCAGGCUAGGCCAUACAUGAAAGCAUAUUUGGGUGCCACCCCUACUUUACCAUGGUCUCUUUAGAAAGGAAAAAAAGAAAAAAAAAAAAAAGCACCCUCCUCCCACUGAAACAGAGAGAAGUAUGCUGCAAGUAUGUAGCACUCUGAAAAUUAGAAUUAGUUUCUCAAGCUGAGAAACCCAAAAUGCGAGGCAUCCAUGAUUCAUUUAAUCCUUCUGAAAAUGUGUGUAUUAGUCCAUAAAAUAAUUACACUUCCUUGUAUUUGCAGGUUUCUUUCAAGCUGUUUCCAUGUUUAGUAAGAUCUAGACAGAAAUAGUUGCAUUUCUACCUGCUUUUGCUGAAGAAACUUGUGUUUCUUCCUCCCAUGGCACAGCUGGAAAUGGGAUAUUUAGAAAGGCAGCGAUCCAUACUGUAUCAGCGUGAGAGUGUUGCUACAGUCUGCAGCUCUAUACCACCGGCUUUUCUUUGCACUUUUUUCUCUUUCAGAAUUUGCCAAGAAAGGUUAUUUAAAAACCAGUCUAUAUCUUGAUAGUCUUCAGGCCACCGCAAAUACCGAUUCCUUUGUAAAAAGAUUCGAAUUGGCUUGUGUUUCAUCAGUUGAUAUUGAGAAAGUGACCCAACCACUACCAUAAUGAGGACAUCUUUCAGAUCACAAAAGUAUCUGCUCUGGGCAAAAUUAAAGGCUUCCACACACCACCCAUCUUUGAGAAACUGCCUCGUCACAAUGCAAACUGUUUUCCUGCUGUUCCAAACGGCAUCACGAAUAUUGUUGAUAUGUUCUUCCCCAGGCAAGAAAUCUCUCUCCUCAAAGCACAAGGUAAAUCUGUUUUUGUCAAAAUACUGUGAAUCCAGGCGUUUAAGUAAAGCAUGCUGGACCCAUUCAAAGUCAUUUUUGCUGCAGCACAAAUAUGCAUCGUAUCUAUACUCACUUGUACCAGCUGCUCGUUGAUGGCUGUCUAUCAAAGUUCUUGUGACAGUUUUAUACCAGACGAAACAAAUCCCCCGACAGCGAGUAAAAAUGACGACUGCCAUCAGAAACAUUACCAGGGUGACAGAGGUGAAGAUGAAUACUGAGAACCUGAGAGACUGCUGGAGUUCAUCUUCAUCACAACCAUCAUACAGCAGAGAAGACAGAGGUACCCCUGCAAAAGCAGGUGGGUAUACACAGUAUCUGUCUGAUUGCGAGCCAGCUAGGGUUACAUUGGUUUCAUUUAGCCACAGUAGUAGGCUCUUUAAAGUACAAUCACAGACAUACUUAUUGUGUGUUAUAUCCAGGACUCUCAAAGUCAUAAAGAUUUCAGGCUCAGGGGAGAAAAGCUGGUUUCCAGACAAGUUUAGGUUUGUUAGGCUUUGUGGAAAAAUCCCAGGAGAAAGAUGAGACAAUAGGUUGGAAGCUAGAUUAAGUCUUUUAAGAGACGUUAGACCUCUAAAAACCUCUUGUGGAAGAGCACUGAGGUAAUUGUUAUUCAGAUGUAGAACCUGCAGUUUGGAGAGUGCCCUGAACACAUCCAAACAUAAAUCUCUCUCCCACACAAGCUGUAACAUAUUUUCUCCUAGAUCUAUAUAGAUUAUCUGAUUGUCUUCUAUAACAUUAACUCUUUUCACACAGUAAGAGAAGCGAUUCUGUUUUAAGAAGAUAAAUUGCAACCCUGGAACUUGGAAAAGUAUAUACAGGUCACCCAGGUUUGCCAACCAAUUUCUUUCUAAAUCAAGAUGUGUUGCAGCUAUUGCUCUGUCAGCUACAGACAUUAGCUUAUUGUCACCUAAAAAGGCAGUAGUCAGAUUUGGAAAAGAAGGGAGUUUUUUAAUGGCGUUGUCUCGAAGAUCAAUUAUUUCCAGAUUUGCUAAACUACUGAAUGAUUUUUGACCAAUCAUCCCAAUAUGGUUUUGCUGUAAAUCAAUAUGCAUUACACUAUGUAGCCCCUCAAAAGUAUAAUCGUACAACUCACCUAAAAGAUUACCUGAGAGAUUGAGAGUUUUUAGGUUUCCCAAGCCAAAAAAUGCUUGCCUUUGGAUUUUAUUUAUCUUGUUUCUGCAAAGGUUCAGCAAUUCCAAAUUACCAAGGCUCUGAAAGACUAAAGAAUUGAGAGAGAAAAUGUAACCAUCUGAAAUAUCGAGCAAAUGAAGAUCACUUCCUGCUAGACCUGUAAAUGUAUUUUCAUCUGGAUUUCUUAAGUUAUCAAAGCCGAAUCCUGAACCCAUCGUAUGAAAAUUAAGUUUUAAAGAACUGAUUUGGGUCCCUUUUAUGGCUGUACAGAAAUACUGGACUUUCUCUGUGCUCCAACCACUGUGACCAAGGUCCAGUGAGUUCAACGUAAUGUUUCUGAAAGGAUUUGGGCAUUUGGCCCAGGCCAUUAAACUUGUAUGGUAUAAUUCAUUAGAACUGAGGCUCAAAAAUAAAAAAUUUUUUCCUUGGAA